UACGUAGGGGGCAAGCGUUGUCCGGAAUUAUUGGGCGUAAAGAGCGUGUAGGCGGCCAGAUAAGUCCGCUGUGAAAUCUCGAGGCUCAACUUCGAGCUGUCGGUGGAAACUAUCUGGCUAGAGUCCGGAAGAGGAGAAUGGAAUUCCUGGUGUAGCGGUGAAAUGCGCAGAUAUCAGGAAGAACACCCAGUGGCGAAAGGCGGUCU
rnacentral:rRNA from 1 species